ACCAGAGCUCUCGGAGAUCAACAAAGGUGCCGCUUUUGAAUGUGAAAGUUUUUUCAAGACUUUUCUAUUUCUUGGUUUGAAUCGUGUGCCUGUAGGGACACAUGCUACCUGCUUACUGGACAGUGACUACUUAGGAUAAGGACUCAGACACACAAGUGGAGAAGAUAAAUAGUAAUUUGGAACCAAAACUCAGGACGUCCCAGGAGAGGCUAGAUUAGGAAUUCUUUGAUUUGGGAUCACGAAAAUGAAGUAUCCAUAUUUUAACAGAAUGAUUAGUGGCAGAGGAAUCAUCUAAGAAAACUGAGAAGACUCUGCCAGAGUGAUGGGAAGAAAACUAGAUGAGAAAGCACCAUUCUGGAAGACAUGCUCCCAUGAACCAUGGAGAGAAGAGGAGAGGGAAGAAGUUAUUUGUGAUGUCAUUUGCCUGUGUCAUGGCCUGCCUUCCCUAGAUAUUGUCCUAAUGUGAGCAUCACACCUAAGGUACUGAAGUAGAGUUCUGGCUGUUCCUUACGGACAUCUCUGGUGGUAAGUAAAUACAUAGAGAUUGCUAGUGCCUUUAACAGAACAAUACAUUGUAAGCACAGUUAUCUCAUUUUUAAACAAACUCAUUUAAUAAAUACCUUUGCUUUUAUUAGG
rnacentral:lncRNA from 1 species